GACGAACGCUGGCGGCGUGCUUAACACAUGCAAGUCGAACGAUGAACCCGGAGCUUGCUCUGGGGGAUUAGUGGCGAACGGGUGAGUAACACGUGAGUAACCUGCCCUGGACUCUGGGAUAAGCGUUGGAAACGACGUCUAAUACCGGAUAGGACCUUGGAUCGCAUGAUCUGGGGUGGAAAGUUUUUUCGGUCUGGGAUGGACUCGCGGCCUAUCAGCUUGUUGGUGAGGUAAUGGCUCACCAAGGCGUCGACGGGUAGCCGGCCUGAGAGGGUGACCGGCCACACUGGGACUGAGACACGGACCAGACUCCUACGGGAGGCAGCAGGGGGGAAUAUUGCACAAUGGGCGAAAGCCUGAUGCAGCAACGCCGCGUGCGGGAUGACGGCCUUCGGGUUGUAAACCGCUUUUAGUAGGGAAGAAGGGCUUCGGCUUGACGGUACCGGCAGAAAAAGAACCGGCUAACUACGUG
rnacentral:rRNA from 1 species